AAGAGACAGCAGUAGCCACGGUAAUACGUAGGGCGCAAGCGUUAUCCGGAAUUAUUGGGCGUAAAGAGCUCGUAGGCGGUUUGUCGCGUCUGCCGUGAAAGUCCGGGGCUCAACCCCGGAUCUGCGGUGGGUACGGGCAGACUAGAGUGAUGUAGGGGAGACUGGAAUUCCUGGUGUAGCGGUGAAAUGCGCAGAUAUCAGGAGGAACACCGAUGGCGAAGGCAGGUCUCUGGGCAUUAACUGACGCUGAGGAGCGAAAGCAUGGGGAGCGAACAGGAUUAGAUACCCCGGUAGUCCCUGUCUCUUAUAC
rnacentral:rRNA from 1 species